rnacentral:rRNA from 1 species
ACUAAGCGUACACGGUGGAUGCCCUGGCAGUCAGAGGCGAUGAAGGACGUGCUAAUCUGCGAUAAGCGUCGGUAAGGUGAUAUGAACCGUUAUAACCGGCGAUUUCCGAAUGGGGAAACCCAGUGUGUUUCGACACACUAUCAUUAACUGAAUCCAUAGGUUAAUGAGGCGAACCGGGGGAACUGAAACAUCUAAGUACCCCGAGGAAAAGAAAUCAACCGAGAUUCCCCCAGUAGCGGCGAGCGAACGGGGAGCAGCCCAGAGCCUGAAUCAGUGUGUGUGUUAGUGGAAGCGUCUGGAAAGGCGCGCGAUACAGGGUGACAGCCCCGUACACAAAAAUGCACAUACUGUGAGCUCGAUGAGUAGGGCGGGACACGUGGUAUCCUGUCUGAAUAUGGGGGGACCAUCCUCCAAGGCUAAAUACUCCUGACUGACCGAUAGUGAACCAGUACCGUGAGGGAAAGGCGAAAAGAACCCCGGCGAGGGGAGUGAAAAAGAACCUGAAACCGUGUACGUACAAGCAGUGGGAGCCUCUUUUAUGGGGUGACUGCGUACCUUUUGUAUAAUGGGUCAGCGACUUAUAUUCUGUAGCAAGGUUAACCGAAUAGGGGAGCCGAAGGGAAACCGAGUCUUAACCGGGCGUUAAGUUGCAGGGUAUAGACCCGAAACCCGGUGAUCUAGCCAUGGGCAGGUUGAAGGUUGGGUAACACUAACUGGAGGACCGAACCGACUAAUGUUGAAAAAUUAGCGGAUGACUUGUGGCUGGGGGUGAAAGGCCAAUCAAACCGGGAGAUAGCUGGUUCUCCCCGAAAGCUAUUUAGGUAGCGCCUCGUGAAUUCAUCUCCGGGGGUAGAGCACUGUUUCGGCAAGGGGGUCAUCCCGACUUACCAACCCGAUGCAAACUGCGAAUACCGGAGAAUGUUAUCACGGGAGACACACGGCGGGUGCUAACGUCCGUCGUGAAGAGGGAAACAACCCAGACCGCCAGCUAAGGUCCCAAAGUCAUGGUUAAGUGGGAAACGAUGUGGGAAGGCCCAGACAGCCAGGAUGUUGGCUUAGAAGCAGCCAUCAUUUAAAGAAAGCGUAAUAGCUCACUGGUCGAGUCGGCCUGCGCGGAAGAUGUAACGGGGCUAAACCAUGCACCGAAGCUGCGGCAGCGACACUGUGUGUUGUUGGGUAGGGGAGCGUUCUGUAAGCCUGUGAAGGUGUGCUGUGAGGCAUGCUGGAGGUAUCAGAAGUGCGAAUGCUGACAUAAGUAACGAUAAAGCGGGUGAAAAGCCCGCUCGCCGGAAGACCAAGGGUUCCUGUCCAACGUUAAUCGGGGCAGGGUGAGUCGACCCCUAAGGCGAGGCCGAAAGGCGUAGUCGAUGGGAAACAGGUUAAUAUUCCUGUACUUGGUGUUACUGCGAAGGGGGGACGGAGAAGGCUAUGUUGGCCGGGCGACGGUUGUCCCGGUUUAAGCGUGUAGGCUGGUUUUCCAGGCAAAUCCGGAAAAUCAAGGCUGAGGCGUGAUGACGAGGCACUACGGUGCUGAAGCAACAAAUGCCCUGCUUCCAGGAAAAGCCUCUAAGCAUCAGGUAACAUCAAAUCGUACCCCAAACCGACACAGGUGGUCAGGUAGAGAAUACCAAGGCGUUUGAGAGAACUCGGGUGAAGGAACUAGGCAAAAUGGUGCCGUAACUUCGGGAGAAGGCACGCUGAUAUGUAGGUGAAGUCCCUCGCGGAUGGAGCUGAAAUCAGUCGAAGAUACCAGCUGGCUGCAACUGUUUAUUAAAAACACAGCACUGUGCAAACACGAAAGUGGACGUAUACGGUGUGACGCCUGCCCGGUGCCGGAAGGUUAAUUGAUGGGGUCAGCGCAAGCGAAGCUCUUGAUCGAAGCCCCGGUAAACGGCGGCCGUAACUAUAACGGUCCUAAGGUAGCGAAAUUCCUUGUCGGGUAAGUUCCGACCUGCACGAAUGGCGUAAUGAUGGCCAGGCUGUCUCCACCCGAGACUCAGUGAAAUUGAACUCGCUGUGAAGAUGCAGUGUACCCGCGGCAAGACGGAAAGACCCCGUGAACCUUUACUAUAGCUUGACACUGAACAUUGAGCCUUGAUGUGUAGGAUAGGUGGGAGGCUUUGAAGUGUGGACGCCAGUCUGCAUGGAGCCGACCUUGAAAUACCACCCUUUAAUGUUUGAUGUUCUAACGUGGACCCGUGAUCCGGGUUGCGGACAGUGUCUGGUGGGUAGUUUGACUGGGGCGGUCUCCUCCUAAAGAGUAACGGAGGAGCACGAAGGUUGGCUAAUCCUGGUCGGACAUCAGGAGGUUAGUGCAAUGGCAUAAGCCAGCUUGACUGCGAGCGUGACGGCGCGAGCAGGUGCGAAAGCAGGUCAUAGUGAUCCGGUGGUUCUGAAUGGAAGGGCCAUCGCUCAACGGAUAAAAGGUACUCCGGGGAUAACAGGCUGAUACCGCCCAAGAGUUCAUAUCGACGGCGGUGUUUGGCACCUCGAUGUCGGCUCAUCACAUCCUGGGGCUGAAGUAGGUCCCAAGGGUAUGGCUGUUCGCCAUUUAAAGUGGUACGCGAGCUGGGUUUAGAACGUCGUGAGACAGUUCGGUCCCUAUCUGCCGUGGGCGCUGGAGAACUGAGGGGGGCUGCUCCUAGUACGAGAGGACCGGAGUGGACGCAUCACUGGUGUUCGGGUUGUCAUGCCAAUGGCACUGCCCGGUAGCUAAAUGCGGAAGAGAUAAGUGCUGAAAGCAUCUAAGCACGAAACUUGCCCCGAGAUGAGUUCUCCCUGACCCUUUAAGGGUCCUGAAGGAACGUUGAAGACGACGACGUUGAUAGGCCGGGUGUGUAAGCGCAGCGAUGCGUUGAGCUAACCGGUACUAAUGAACCGUGAGGCUUAACC